rnacentral:RNase_P_RNA from 14 species
AGUUUGUCGCUGUUCAUCUUUUGAUGAAGAGAGGAAAGUCUGGGCAGUAUAGAGCGCCGUACUUCCUAACGGGAAGGGCCUGAAUGAUCAGGAACAGCUAGUGCAACAGAAAACAGGUAGCCCUGAUUGUAACAUCAGGGUCAUAGUGAAAAGGUGAGGUAAGAGCUCACCGUCCCGCGUCGUGAGGCAGGGAGCUAGGUAAACCUUACGGACUGAAAGACCAUGUAAACCGGGGUUAAAGGGCUGCUCGCUCAACUCGGAGGGUAGGUCGAUUGAUUCCGAUUGUGAAGUCGGAACUAGAUAAAUGACAGACGUCCCAAUUAAUUUGGGAAACAGGACCCGGCUUAUGA